UACGGGGGGGGCAAGCGUUGUUCGGAAUUACUGGGCGUAAAGUGUGCGCAGGCGGCCGAGCAAGUCGAGUGUGAAAGCCCCGAGCUUAACUUGGGAAUUGCGCUCGAAACUACUUGGCUGGAGUGUGGCAGAGGAAGGUGGAAUUCCAGGUGUAGCGGUGAAAUGCGUAGAGAUCUGGAGGAACACCGAUGGCGAAGGCAGCCUUCUGGGCCAACACUGACGCUCAUGCACGAAAGCGUGGGGAGCAAACAGG
rnacentral:rRNA from 1 species